AGCUUUGCGCAGAGAUAGUAUCGUAGCCAGUGAGGUUUAUCCCAGGCGCAAUUACCGCUAACUGAAAACUUUUCCCAAUACCCCACCAUGACGGCUUGAAAUUCAGUCAGCAUUGGCAAUUUUUGACAGUCUUUACAGAGA